UCUUUCGGUGAUGAGAAGGGAGACCAUAC
rnacentral:piRNA from 1 species